UGAGCUUGAUCAUGGCUCAGAUUGAACGCUGGCGGCAGGCCUAACACAUGCAAGUCGAGCGGUAGAGAGAAGCUUGCUUCUCUUGAGAGCGGCGGACGGGUGAGUAAUGCCUAGGAAUCUGCCUGGUAGUGGGGGAUAACGUUCGGAAACGAACGCUAAUACCGCAUACGUCCUACGGGAGAAAGCAGGGGACCUUCGGGCCUUGCGCUAUCAGAUGAGCCUAGGUCGGAUUAGCUAGUUGGUGAGGUAAUGGCUCACCAAGGCGACGAUCCGUAACUGGUCUGAGAGGAUGAUCAGUCACACUGGAACUGAGACACGGUCCAGACUCCUACGGGAGGCAGCAGUGGGGAAUAUUGGACAAUGGGCGAAAGCCUGAUCCAGCCAUGCCGCGUGUGUGAAGAAGGUCUUCGGAUUGUAAAGCACUUUAAGUUGGGAGGAAGGGCAUUAACCUAAUACGUUAGUGUUUUGACGUACCGACAG
rnacentral:rRNA from 1 species